rnacentral:rRNA from 1 species
AAUACAUGCAGGUCGAGCGAACAGAUAAGGAGCUUGCUCCUUUGACGUUAGCGGCGGACGGGUGAGUAACACGUGGGUAACCUACCUAUAAGACUGGAAUAACUCCGGGAAACCGGGGCUAAUGCCGGAUAACAUAUAGAACCGCAUGGUUCUAUAGUGAAAGAUGGUUUUGCUAUCACUUAUAGAUGGACCCGCGCCGUAUUAGCUGGUUGGUAAGGUAAUGGCUUACCAAGGCGACGAUACGUAGCCGACCUGAGAGGGUGAUCGGCCACACUGGAACUGAGACACGGUCCAGACUCCUACGGGAGGCAGCAGUAGGGAAUCUUCCGCAAUGGGCGAAAGCCUGACGGAGCAACGCCGCGUGAGUGAUGAAGGGUUUCGGCUCGUAAAACUCUGUUAUUAGGGAAGAACAUAUGUGUAAGUAACUGUGCACAUCUUGACGGUACCUAAUCAGAAAGCCACGGCUAACUACGUGCCAGCAGCCGCGGUAAUACGUAGGUGGCAAGCGUUAUCCGGAAUUAUUGGGCGUAAAGCGCGCGUAGGCGGUUUCUUAAGUCUGAUGUGAAAGCCCACGGCUCAACCGUGGAGGGUCAUUGGAAACUGGGAAACUUGAGUGCAGAAGAGGAAAGUGGAAUUCCAUGUGUAGCGGUGAAAUGCGCAAGAUAUGGAGGAACACCAGUGGCGAAGGCGACUUUCUGGUCUGUAACUGACGCUGAUGUGCGAAAGCGUGGGGAUCAAACAGGAUUAGAUACCCUGGUAGUCCACGCCGUAACGAUGAGUGCUAAGUGUUAGGGGGUUUCCGCCCCUUAUGCUGCAGCUAACGCAUUAGCACUCCGCCUGGGGGAGUACGACCGCAGGUUGGAAACUCAAAGGAAUUGACGGGGACCCGCACAAACGGUGGAGCAUGUGGUUUAAUUCGAGCAACGCGAGACCGUACCAAAUCUGGACAUCCUUUGGACCACUCUAAAUAGAGCUUUCCCCUU